AAGUCGCUGGUAACUAUCGGCUUUGCAUGCUGCUGAAGUAGCCUUCGUAAUGCGGGGGUCACAGGUUCGAGUCCUGUAAGCGGCACCA
rnacentral:tRNA from 1 species